CCUACGGGUGGCAGCAGUGGGGAAUAUUGGACAAUGGGCGAAAGCCUGAUCCAGCCAUGCCGCGUGUGUGAAGAAGGCCUUCGGGUUGUAAAGCACUUUCAGUGGGGAAGAAAGCCUUGGGGCUAAUACCCUCGAGGAAGGACAUCACCCACAGAAGAAGCACCGGCUAACUCCGUGCCAGCAGCCGCGGUAAUACGGAGGGUACGAGCGUUAAUCGGAAUUACUGGGCGUAAAGCGCGCGUAGGCGGUCUGAUAAGCCGGUUGUGAAAGCCCCGGGCUCAACCUGGGAACGGCAUCCGGAACUGUCAGGCUAGAGUGCAGGAGAGGAAGGUAGAAUUCCCGGUGUAGCGGUGAAAUGCGUAGAGAUCGGGAGGAAUACCAGUGGCGAAGGCGGCCUUCUGGACUGACACUGACGCUGAGGUGCGAAAGCGUGGGUAGCAAACAGGAUUAGAUACCCGGGUAGUC
rnacentral:rRNA from 1 species